ACACGACUACAUUAGAUACCCCGGUAGUCCCAGCCCUAAACGAUGCGCGUUAGGUGUAUCGGUGACCACGAGUUACCGAGGUGCCGAAGGGAAACCGUGAAACGUGCCGCCUGGGAAGUACGGUCGCAAGGCUGAAACUUAAAGGAAUUGCGGGGGAGCACCACAACGGGUGGAGCCUGCGGUUUAAUUGGACUCAACGCCGGGAAGCUCACCGGAUAAGACAGCGGAAUGAUUGCCGGGCUGAAGACCCUGCAUGACCAGCUG
rnacentral:rRNA from 1 species